UCCAACACAACACAAGUUCAACAUCUACCAAUGCCUCCCAACAGCACUGCUUCAACUCCAACCAAUGGUAUUCCUGGAUCUUGCCAAGGCAUAAAUCUACAAGAUGCCAGUCGCAGCGUA